CCUUGCGCGUGAGGCGAACCGUGACGUUAAAGGAACCGUUCAAACUCGCACACUAAACUCCCGCCCUUAAGUGUGAAGUGGACCGUUGGAGCACGAGCGCACGGCGGGAAAACAUUUAACGGUCACCCAUUUGCGCGCAGGUGACGUACAGCUUACCAAGCACACUGUCCCGUUGAGGAGCAGCAGAAUGAAGCCGUGGUCGGAGCGCAUCUCGUCGGUCUCCUACAGACUCUCCGUUCAAGAAGACGCUGUUCCUCCGGUACCGUAUCCAAAACAGCCGAGACCCGGUCCCAUGUCCAACAAAAACUCUCCUGUGAGUGGAAUCCCACCUGCUUUCUGUCACGGAAAACUCACGCUACUUUGAGAGAUUACCGGAGCGGGUGACAUCCAAAGGCGCGUGGAGACUGAGGGAACACUUCAUCUUUGCGCUGCGAUAAAAGAGGAGACGACAGCGUCCACUUUACUCCGUUUAGUGUUGGAAUGAGGAGAGAGCCAAAGAAUGAGGUACCAAAGCUCAGAGAAACCGUAUAUAAAUGAGAAAAGCAACUCGUCUCUGCGAAACCGGGUGGCCGAACAGUCAUCAGUGCCAACAAACGCAAUCACAGCUGCUUCUUACUGAAGCACUUUGAGCUUGUGUGCCCCCCACCCCUCAUGUGAGAAACCCAAAGGUCAUGUGGGUAUUCGCUCCUGAUUGCCUGGUGGUCUUUAAUGGAACUGUGGUUCAUUGCCUUGGUCUGGAAAAGCCCAGAAAGACGUUCUCAGUCUUACACCAUUAAGUGACGCAGAACAGUAGUCUGAAACGCUGUGUCCUCGGGCAUCCGGUAGCUCACGUGGAGCCUCUGAGUGCACCUGCAAAGCAUCAGUUUGGCCUCAGUUAAUCCUUUAAAAUGAAAUAUAUAAUUGUGUGCAAAAAUUGUAUAUGUAAAAAUAAUUUCUGCUGUCCUAGCUUUUUGCAAUGCCAAGCCUUUAAAAAAAAUUCUAG